rnacentral:tRNA from 2 species
GCGCCCGUAGCUCAGUGGAUAGAGCAUCUGGCUUCGAACCAGAGGGCCGGGGGUUCAAAUCCCUCCGGGCGUACCA